rnacentral:rRNA from 1 species
CAGUCGCCGCGGUAAUACGAAGGGGGCUAGCGUUGCUCGGAAUGACUGGGCGUAAAGGGCUCGCAGGCGGUUUCUUAAGUCUGAUGUGAAAGCCCCCGGCUCAACCGGGGAGGGUCAUUGGAAACUGGGAAACUUGAGUGCAGAAGAGGAGAGUGGAAUUCCACGUGUAGCGGUGAAAUGCGUAGAGAUGUGGAGGAACACCAGUGGCGAAGGCGACUCUCUGGUCUGUAACUGACGCUGAGGAGCGAAAGCGUGGGGAGCGAACAGGAUUAGAUACCCCAGUAGUCCCUGUCUCUUAUAA